UGUCCAACUCCCGUCUUUUCACGCUGCAGGCUGUGGGAGGCGGUGGUGCGGCCGGCAGGCCAGCAUGAAG
rnacentral:snoRNA from 1 species